CUCUGUCUGGGUGCUGGGGUGUGCUGGAUGCUGGGAGAGGUGUUGCAGAAGAGGGGGCAGGCUCUUUUCUUAAUACCGGGGUCAAAUGAAAGUUAGACCCUUCUUUACGUCCAAGUAAUUAUCCCUGUUGUCUCUACAGUAAGGAGCACUGGCAGGAACCGUGCCCCUUAGCAGAGAGGGGGCAGCUGCAGUAAAUGCCAGCCAGGGCCAGUUUCGGCAUUUGACCUGGCUUUCACCACAACGACUGAGCCUCGGCGAUGCUCUGAAGGACAGCAAUGCAGCAGCAAGGCAAGUUACAACAAGGACUCAGAGAUAAUGCCUGGUCUGGUGGACAUCUGCAGACACAGAAUGCAUGGGCCAGCCUUCCCACCAUUCUCCUGCCUCCAGCGGUGUUGGGUCAGUGAUGCUGUUAAAGCACGGAAACAACUGUCUUGCAUGGAACUAACACAGAUUCACAGGCCUUCACUGAGAACUGACCCCAAGAAGUCCAGCAGCAAUCAGUGCCGGGACCCAGAGAUGGGAGGAGCCUGGAAAGGUAAGGCAGGUGAGGUUUCCCAAGAGGCAAGGAAGGAAUGGCAUCUUUCUUCAGUGAGUUCAUGAGGUUGAGAUGGCAGCCUGCAAAGAUGGGCAAGUGCUGGGCCUUGCUGUGGAGGAUCUGUUCCAUGACCUUCCCAGGCACAGGGGUGAGGCUGACAGGUCAGUGAUUCCCAGGGUCCCCCUUUCUACCUUUUCUAAAGGUGGGUGCAGUAUUCCCCUUUUCCAGUCACCUGUGGCUUCAGCUGCCUGCCAUGCCUUGUGGCAGGCGGA
rnacentral:lncRNA from 1 species